rnacentral:rRNA from 1 species
UGGGGAAUAUUGCGCAAUGGGCGAAAGCCUGACGCAGCCACGCCGCGUGGGUGAUGAAGGCCUUCGGGUUGUAAAGCCCUGUCGGGAGGGAAGAAGUUCUGACGGUACCUCCCAAGAAAGCACCGGCUAACUCCGUGCCAGCAGCCGCGGUAAUACGGAGGGUGCGAGCGUUGCUCGGAAUUACUGGGCGUAAAGCGUACGCAGGCUGUCUCAUAAGACGGGUGUGAAAGCCCGGGGCUCAACCCCGGAAUUGCGCCCGUGACUGUGGGGCUUGAACGCGGGAGAGGGAAGCGGAAUUCCUGGUGUAGAGGUGAAAUUCGUAGAUAUCAGGAGGAACACCGGUGGCGAAAGCGGCUUCCUGGCCCGACAUUGACGCUCAUGUACGAGAGCGUGGGGAGCAAACAG